GCCGAAGUGGUGGAACUGGUAGACACGCUACCUUGAGGGGGUAGUGAGCAUAGCUCGUGGAGGUUCGAAUCCUCUCUUCGGCACCA
rnacentral:tRNA from 1 species